rnacentral:lncRNA from 1 species
AAAUAGUAAGCCUGAGGGCUAAAUUACAAAGUCCAAAUAGUCUGAUGGCUCGAUUCACUUUUCUGCGGAUAACAGAAAAUGGAAGGACGAAUCUGAAGAACGGGAAAGAGAUAAGGUUUCUAUCCCUUCGUGUGUGAGUGCAUGGAUUGCAAUCGAUCUGAUUGAAUCCUUUGCUCCAAUUCAACGCAGAGACCAUCGCCUUGCAUCUGGUCGCCUCACACGCUGGACGGCGCCGCGCUGGAGUCGCCGCCACGCCUUGCUGCUAUGAGUUGGUCAUGGCCCUCGCCACCAGCACAGGUGUUGGUCGUGCGCCCACUUCCCGUAGCCGCUGAUGCUGGAGGGCGUCGUCAAGCCAGGCCACCGCCGCAGUCAGACAUGCUGAGGGAGGCCCGGCGCUUCCGCCGCACCUAGGCGGCACACCGCCGCGAGGAGCCAUUCCGGGAGGAGCAGCGCUGCGGGCGGGUCGCCUGUGGGCCGGUGGGGGCUAGGCCGAUGGCCGAGCGCGGGGCGCAGGGCAUGCCAGGAGGAGUGGCCGCGCCUGGUGCUCGUCGUCCGGGUGCCAAAGGGCAAAGCCAAGGGCGUUAGUCUGCCCAUUGGACGUCGAUAAGACGCCUCGCUAAUGGAAGCAGGCGAUACCGCUUGUUAGUUGAGCGCUGGAUGAGUUGUCGUCUCGAUGGGCAACGAUGAAAACAAGUACUCCAAUGGUUAGUCCAUCCGUUCAAACCUAGCACAUGGUCAUACCUAAUGAAGUUGUGCAUUUAUUUACUGAGUGCAUAUGCAAACCGGAUUAUCAUCGAUCCGUUCUUGAUGGAUUUCAAUUUAGCAUGCCUGUGAGGAGAUCGGCCUUGCUCCUAGCCGAGGACCGCUCCGGGAUGCAGGGCGUCUGAAACCGCGCUGGGAACAACAGUCGUCGAUGCGCCUCCAAGAACGGCGGGGAAACUGACUUCUAUCAGGGCGUCUGAAACCGCGCUGGGAACAACAGUCGUCGAUGUGCCUCCAUGAACGGCGGGGAAACUGACUUCUAUGAUUCUAUCCAUUGUCGUUUCCGAUUCUUUCGCCUGGUCGCUCAGGAAAGAGAGUGUUGAUAACGUGUAAAGAGUAAAAGAAGAGAAGGAGAAUGAUACAAUGAACAAUCAUCUCUCAUUGAUGGAAACUGGGGAUAUUUAUAUCCAGUACAUGGCGGUUUAUAAAAGGGAAGGUUGCCAAGAAACAACC